GUCGAGGAUCAUUUGCAAUGGGCGAAAGCCUGACAAUGCGACGCUGCGUGGAGGAUGAAGGCCUUCGGGUUGUAAACUCCUGUCAUUCGGGAACAACCGUUUUGGCGUGAAUAACGCCGAGACCUGAUGGUACCGAAAGAGGAAGCCACGGCUAACUCUGUGCCAGCAGCCGCGGUAAUACAGAGGUGGCAAGCGUUGUUCGGAUUUACUGGGCGUAAAGGGUGCGUAGGUGGCUUUGUGUGUCACAUGUGAAAUCCCACGGCCUAACCGUGGAACUGCAUGUGAAACUGCGAAGCUAGAGUGCAGGAGAGGAGAGCGGAAUUCUUGGUGUAGCGGUGAAAUGCGUUGAGAUCAAGAGGAACACCGGUGGCGAAGGCGGCUCUCUGGAAUGCAACUGACACUGAGGCACGAAAGCUAGGGGAGCAAACAGGAUUAGAUACCCUGGUAGUCC
rnacentral:rRNA from 1 species